rnacentral:rRNA from 1 species
CAGUAGCCGCGGUAAUACGUAGGGGGCAAGCGUUGUCCGGAAUUAUUGGGCGUAAAGCGCGCGCAGGCGGUUUUUUAAGUCUGGUGUCUAAGUGCGGGGCUCAACCCCGUGACGCACUGGAAACUGGGAGACUUGAGUGCAGAAGAGGAGAGCGGAAUUCCACGUGUAGCGGUGAAAUGCGUAGAGAUGUGGAGGAACAUCAGUGGCGAAGGCGGCCAUCUGGGACAACACUGACGCUGAGGCACGAAAGCGUGGGGAGCAAACAGGAUUAGAUACCCCAGUAGUCCCUGUCUCUUAUACA